UACGUAAGGUGCAAGCGUUGUCCGGAAUUAUUGGGCGUAAAGAGCUCGUAGGCGGUCUGUCACGUCGGCUGUGAAAACCCGAGGCUCAACCUCGGGCCUGCAGUCGAUACGGGCAAACUAGAGUGUUGCAGGGGAGACUGGAAUUCCUGGUGUAGCGGUGAAAUGCGCAGAUAUCAGGAGGAACACCGGUGGCGAAGGCGGGUCUCUGGGCAACAACUGACGCUGAGGAGCGAAAGCGUGGGGAGCGAACAGG
rnacentral:rRNA from 1 species